rnacentral:rRNA from 1 species
GAUGAACGCUAGCGGCAGGCUUAAUACAUGCAAGUCGAGGGGUAGCAAGAUUGUAGCAAUACAAUUGUUGACGACCGGCAAACGGGUGCGGAACACGUACACAACCUUCCUACAAGUGGGGAAUAGCCCAGAGAAAUUUGGAUUAAUACCCCGUAACAUAGCGAUGUGGCAUCACAUUGCUAUUAUAGCUUCGGCGCUUGUUGAUGGGUGUGCGGCUGAUUAGAUAGUUGGCGGGGUAACGGCCCACCAAGUCUACGAUCAGUAGCUGAUGUGAGAGCAUGAUCAGCCACACGGGCACUGAGACACGGGCCCGACUCCUACGGGAGGCAGCAGUAAGGAAUAUUGGACAAUGGACGCAAGGCUGAUCCAGCCAUGCCGCGUGAAGGAUUAAGGUCCUCUGGAUUGUAAACUUCUUUUAUAUGGGACGAAAAAAGGGUUUUCUAACUCGUCUGACGGUACCAUAUGAAUAAGCACCGGCUAACUCCGUGCCAGCCGCCGCCGUAAGAC